AUGCUGGGGGGAGGGGGAGGACCUGGAUGCGGAGAACAGCCCAAAGGGAAGCUUGGGGCGCACCGCAGUGGGGGAAGGGGCAAUGGGGGUGUCUGCAAAGCUGGGAAGGAACUGAGCCAGUCCCCAGGCUGCUGCCCCUCCGCGCCCCGAGGUCAGCCGGAGUCCGGCCGCGCGAGGCCGCCUCCCGCCCCGCCGGCGCAGGGCUCUCCCCUGCCACCCGGGCGGCGAGACUCCCGGCUCGCGCGCUCGGCGCCCGGCGCUGGGAGGCGUGUGUGUCGCUUUAAAAGCUCCCUCCCGGCGCGCGGGGCCGGCCCUUCGCUGACAGCGCGGAGAGCGGAGCCCAGCGAGCCGGCGGCCUCGGAGGGAGCCAGCGCCCGCCCGGGCGGCAGUCCCGCGGGGGCCGGCGGGGCGGGCCGGGGGCGGCCGCGGGCGGGCGGGCGGCGCGGCGCUCGGGGAGCGGGCCCAGGCCCGCGGAGCCCGGCGGGGCAGGGCAGGGCAGGGCGAGGCGAGGCGAGGCGGCGGAGGCAGGCCCAGCCCCGACCCGGCGCCCGGGGGCCGGCGAGGCCGCGGGCCGCGAGGGAGCGGGCGCCGAGCGGAGGCCGCGAGCCCAGUGCGCCCGGCCCGCCGCGCCCCUCCCCUCGCCGCCCGCGGCGCGCCUCCUCCCUCGCUCUUCUCGCCUCCUCGCCUCCGCCGGCCGGGCCGCCGGGGACCCGGCCCCGCGGCCGACACCGCCCCUCCCGGGGGCCCGGGGAUCCCGGACCUCUCCGGCCGUGGACUGAGCGGCGGCGGCGUCCUCGCCCCGGCGGCCCGCGGGGCUGGGAGGAGCGGAUCCUCGCGGCCGCUCCGGACGCGGCGGGUGCCAGAGCGCGGACGUUCGGGGUCCGGGCUGAGCAGGUCCCGGGCGCCCGGCGAGGCCAGCUCACUCCGGGCGGGCAGACCCGGCGGAGCCCGCAGCCGGCCGAUCUGGACUGGACAGAGCGAGUUCCGGACGGCGCUGAGCCCGGGGACGGCCGGGCGCGGGCCGAGGGCAUCCCGGCGCCCUCCGAUCCCUCCGACUUUGGUUCACGCGCUGGGACCGGUCCGGCGUCGCCUCGGUCUCCCUGCGCCCGGGUCACCUGUGGCCUCGGAGCCCCGGGCCCCCCGGACGCUCGCUCAUUCCCCGCCCGGAGCCCGGCGGGGGUCGGGGGAGCUUUUUCCUGCCCCCUUCCGUGGAGCGCGGAGGCCCCGCCCCCUCCCACCGCCCAGAUGUCUCCGGUGGCGGCUCUGAGGACCUCCCUGAGGCCAGGGGCCGAAGGGUCCAGAGAGAGAAGCCCGCCCUAG
rnacentral:lncRNA from 1 species